AGACAUCGAAACCAGCAGAGAUGCUAACCACAUAUUGUGUGUAUGUGCAUUCCGAUCACUCAUUGCAGCUACCAGUAAAGAACCACAUCAUCCAAACCAGCCUGUGUGUGGAUUCUUGACGGGACAGGUCGGCGAAUCAUGAGUCAGUCAGUAACAGCUUCCCCGGCGGCAGAUCUCGCUGUGUGUCAGUUGGCGAACGACACAAGCCCUCAGCACCCAAUGAACGACGCGCAAAGUGACUGAACGAGAUCCUCAAUGGGACGUCAUUCUCCGCGACACAGUCACUUCCCUGCGU